AUUGAACGCUGGCGGCAGGCCUAACACAUGCAAGUCGAGCGGAUGAAGGGAGCUUGCUCCUGGUUUCAGCGUCGGACGGUUGUGUAAUGCCUAGGAAUCUGCCUGGUAUUGGUUUAUAACGUCCUGAAACGGGCGCUACUACCGCAUACGUCCUGAUGGUGAAAGUUUUUGUUCUUCGGACCUCUCGCUUUCUGAUGAGCCUAGGUCGGAUUAGCUAGUUGGUGGGGUAAAGGCCUACCAAGGCGACGAUCCGUAACUGGUCUGAGAGGAUGAUAAGUAACACUGGAAGUGAGACACGGAACAGAGGACUACGGGAGGAAGCAGUGGGGAAUAUUGGAAAAUGGGCGAAAGCAUGAUACAGCAAGGCCGAGUGUGUGAAGAAGGUCUUCGGAGUGUAAAGAACUUUAAGUAGGGAGGAAGGGAAGUAAGAUAAUACGUAGAUGUAGUGACGUUAACAAAAGAAUAAGCACCGGCUAACUACGUG
rnacentral:rRNA from 1 species